rnacentral:rRNA from 1 species
UACAGAGGUCCCGAGCGUUGUUCGGAUUCACUGGGCGUAAAGGGUGCGUAGGCGGGUCUUUUAAGUCAGGGGUGAAAUCCUGGAGCUCAACUCCAGAACUGCCUUUGAUACUGAGGAUCUUGAGUUCGGGAGAGGUGAGUGGAACUGCGAGUGUAGAGGUGAAAUUCGUAGAUAUUCGGAAGAACACCAGUGGCGAAGGCGGCUCACUGGACCGGUAUUGACGCUGAGGUGCGAAAGCGUGGGGAGCAAACAGG